rnacentral:rRNA from 1 species
GUAUGGCUGUUCGCCAUUUAAAGUGGUACGCGAGCUGGGUUUAGAACGUCGUGAGACAGUUCGGUCCCUAUCUGCCGUGGGCGCUGGAGAACUGAGGGGGGCUGCUCCUAGUACGAGAGGACCGGAGUGGACGCAUCACUGGUGUUCGGGUUGUCAUGCCAAUGGCACUGCCCGGUAGCUAAAUGCGGAAGAGAUAAGUGCUGAAAGCAUCUAAGCACGAAACUUGCCCCGAGAUGAGUUCUCCCUGACUCCUUGAGAGUCCUGAAGGAACGUUGAAGACGACGACGUUGAUAGGCCGGGUGUGUAAGCGCAGCGAUGCGUUGAGCUAACCGGUACUAAUGAACCGUGAGGCUUAACCUUACAACGCCGAAGGUGUUU